UUGCAGAUUGCAACAUAUAGCAUGCCAGGAGACUUAAGUGAGUGGGUUAUGAAGCAUUACGACCCUGAAAUUUCCCAACUUGUCAUCCCAGAGAGGGGCAAGAUUCUAGUAGAUGCAGCAAGUGUUCACAGGAUAUGGGGUCUGCCAAACAGGGGGAGGAAGGUUUGCUACGAGAAUAGAGCAGAUUACAGAUCCAAAAUGUACAAAAUCUUCAAGAUCAAUACGAAAGGCUCACCAACACUAACAUCUCGGUGCAAAAUGAUUAAGGAUAUGGCUAGGGCAGCAGAUAACAAUUUCCUGCGUGCUUGGUUGGCGGUCGCCUUCUCCUGUUACCUUGCUCCUACCACAAGUUUGAACAUAUCCCCACGGUGUUUUCCUGCUGCGAUGCAUGUGGAUGCGAUAACGAAGACCAAUGUAUGCCAGUUUGUAGUUGAUCAAUUAAAAUUGGCAUUCGCAGGAGCAGGUGUGUGA
rnacentral:rRNA from 1 species